GGGGAUGCGUGGUUUCGACAGGGGUUGGUUGGGCAGGAUUGCAGGUCGAGGUCGUCUCACCCUCGUUAAUAAUGUGACAAAAAAAUGACUGGCAACAAGCAAGUCGCACUGGCCGCGUAGAUUCGUGACCACGCUUUAUUCGCCCACCUCUGCGGUGAGUAAUAGCGAUAUAUAGUAGAGGUGCAAUGACUCCUAUGCCGCUAAGAGUCAUUUAAGAUUAGUGGUAGGCGCUCUAGCAGUUUGCUGGUGGACGUCUAGGUCGUGUGAUUAAAUCACCAGAUAUGCCUGUAGUACAUCCUGUACUUGCCUCUUCUGGACGGGGAGUUCAACUCUCCCCCAUCUCCACCA
rnacentral:tmRNA from 1 species